UACAGAGACUGCAAGCGUUAUUCGGAUUCACUGGGCGUAAAGGGUGCGCAGGCGGCCAAGUGUGUGAGGCGUGAAAGCCGUGGGGCUUAACUCCAGAAUGCACCUCAAACUACAUGGCUAGAGCAUUGGAGAGGGGUAGCAGAAUUCACGGUGUAGCAGUGAAAUGCGUAGAUAUCGGUAGGAACACCAGUGGCGAAGGCGGUUUCCUGGGGCAUUCGUGACGCUGAGGCGCGAAA
rnacentral:rRNA from 1 species